GACGAACGCUGGCGGCGUGGAUUAGGCAUGCAAGUCGAACGGUAUCAUCCUUUCGGGGGUGAGAGAGUGGCGAACUGGUGAGUAACACGUAGGUUAUCUACCCUCAAGACGGGGACAACCCAGGGAAACUUGGGCUAAUACCGGAUGUGAGCAACUUUUAGUUGUUUGAAAGGUGGCGUAAGCUGUCGCUUGGGGAUGAGCCUGCGUCCUAUUAGUUAGUUGGUGAGGUAACGGCUCACCUAGGCAAUGAUAGGUAGGCGGCCUUAACGGGUGGUCGCCCACACUGGGAUUGAGAUACGGCCCAGACUCCUACGGGAGGCAGCAGUCGAGAAUAGUCUACAAUGGACGGAAGUCUGAUAGUGCGACGCCGCGUGAACGAAGAAUCCCUUCGGGGUGUAAAGUUCUUUUAUACGUGAGCAGUGCCCUUUAUAUGAAUAGUAUAGAGGAGGGAUUUAAGCGUAUGAAUAAGCAACGGCUAACUCCGUGCCAGCAGCCGCGGUAAACUGUCUACG
rnacentral:rRNA from 1 species